UGGUAGUGUAUUGGACAACCAUGGCAGUCACGGGUAACGGAGAAUUAGGGUUCGAUUCCGGAGAAGGAGCCUGAGAAACGGCUACUACAUCUAAGGAUGGCAGCAGGCGCGUAAAUUACCCAAUCCUGAAUCAGGGAGGUAGUGACAAGAUAUAACAACGCGAUUAAACAUCGCGAUUGUAGUGAGGGUAUUCUAAAGAUAGCUUCGAGUACGAUUGGAGGGUAAGUCUGGCGCCAGCAGCCGCGGUAAUUCCAGCUCCAAUAGCGUAUAUUAAAGUUGUUGCAGUUAAAAAGCUCGUAGUUGGAUUUCAAGAGAUGCAUGUGGGCAACCACUUUGCUCUCUACCAGUCUCAGACUGUUACUGUGAGAAAAUUAGAGUGUUUCAAGCAGGCAAUUGCAGGAAUACAUUAGCAUGGAAUAACGAAUGUGGCUACAAUUUGGUUGAUUGUAGUUUACGAUUAAUAGGGACAGUUGGGGGCAUUAGUAUUUAAUUGUCAGAGGUGAAAUUCUUGGAUUUGUUAAAGACUAACGUAUGCGAAAGCAUUUGCCAAGGAUGUUUUCAUUAAUCAAGAACGAAAGAUAGGGGAUCAAAGACGAUCAGA
rnacentral:rRNA from 1 species